ACUCAAUUAACUCAGUCAGUAGAGCAUGAGACUCUUAAGCUCACGGUCAAGGGUUCAAGCCCCACAUUGGGCA